rnacentral:tRNA from 1 species
GGCGGCGUAGUUCAAAGGUAGAACACUGCGACUGCUUUUCGCAAGGGGUGGCCGUUCGACCCGGCCCGCCGCCACCG